rnacentral:rRNA from 1 species
CCUACGGGAGGCAGCAGUAGGGAAUAUUGCUCAAUGGGGGAAACCCUGAUGCAGCAACGCCGCGUGUAGGAUGAAGGUUUUCGGAUUGUAAACUCCUUUUGUUAGAGAAGAUAAUGACGGUAUCUAACGAAUAAGCACCGGCUAACUCCGUGCCAGCAGCCGCGGUAAUACGGAGGGUGCAAGCGUUACUCGGAAUCACUGGGCGUAAAGAGCGCGUAGGCGGGAUAGCAAGUCAGAUGUGAAAUCCUAUGGCUUAACCAUAGAACUGCAUUUGAUACUGGUCAUCUAGAGUAUGUGAGAGGUAGGUGGAAUUCUAGGUGUAGGGGUAAAAUGCGUAGAGAUCAGGAGGAAUACUCAUUGCGAAGGCGACCUGCUAGACCAAAACUGACGCUGAUGCGCGAAAGCGUGGGGAGCAAACAGGAUUAGAUACCCCUGUAGUC